GGUCCUAUGUGGCACCCCUCAUUAGAGUAGUGAGAGUAGUGAUGCAUAGGUAAUAUUUUUUCCUUCCUUCCACCGUUCCUUUGCGCACGGGAUCGAACAAACCAGUCGCCUCUUCCUCCUCAACGCGACAGGACGCCGCUUCUUCCUCUUACCUUUCAAGCAACUUCCCUUCCUGCGCCAGAACGCAACUCCUUCGGCUUCUCUUCUCUGUCGACGCCGUCAUUCGACUUUCCUGAUCUCAUUGGGACAUUGUCAUCGUCAGCAGAUGAGAUAUUCGAUCAGUACUUCAACGAGAAAAUUAGCACUUUUGAAGAGUUCCACCUCUCUUUUCUUGAAUAUUCUAUCUUCUGCUUGAUCGCAGCAAAUUAAAUAAUUUUUUUCCUGGCAAGCAUUAUGAUGCUCCACCACGCCUACUGAUUAAGAAGUGCUAUGAAGAGUGGAGCGACCCCAUUAAAGAUGCCGCAGAGAAAAAACGCUUGCUCAUUGAGCUUCUUGAAACACAUGUUAGCAUUAGUAGAAGGAAAGACGAAGCAAUUUUAACUACGGCAGUAGUGGCCCCAGGUGCUGCCAUUAUUUUUAAGAGGAUUGUACCGGAUGUAAUUUUUGUUCCUUCAGUUACUCUUAUGGCAAUUGCUGUGCUAAAAGCCGUGCAAAUACAGAAGAUCAGAAAAAUUGUGUAACAACUAUUAUUAUGGCCGCCUUUAGUUCUUUUGUUUAAUCGUUUAAUAUGUGACAGUU